UGCAGACCCAGAAGCAACUCCUGAGCACUGCCAGGUGUGACCCGAGAAAAAUUUAAAAUAAAUGCAAUUAAAAUGCAGGUAGAUACUCUCCGGGGAAACGCUGGCCAGCAGCACCUCUCUCCUUCCGUCGGCUACUCUGGGCAACGUUCCUGACUCUCCCUCUGCCAACUCCUGAACUCUCUCGCCAGUCCCACAUCUCUCCUACACUCUACUUCUGUCUUGUCCCACGGGCCCUACGGGGCGCUCCAGCUCAGGGGUACCCCAACAAGCCUCACUUCCCCCCUGCUGUCUUCCCGGCAGACAACGGCUUCCCCAGGAAACCGGCCUGUGAACCAUCCACCUCACCCCACCAUCAUUCGCCGGCUGCCCGCCCGGGCAACUCCGGCCCUUCCCUCUGCCCCAACUGGCGCUCAUUAAUCUGGCGGCUCGCCCGCUCGCUGGUGCACACCGCAACUGUCAUCUUCGUGUUCUCCGUGGCUCCCCAGUGCCCCUCGCUCCACUGCCUGAAAGCACCCCAGAAUGUAAAACGGGGCCUCUCCCCUUAGAGCUAUCCCAUGCUUCUCUGCCGUCCCCUGGGUCAGCACCCGGCCCUGUUCCGCCUGCCCCCUGCACUGCACCACCUGCCGCUUGCACUGGGACUCGGGGCUCCCCCGGCACACGUGGAGGCCCAGACCGUGUGCCUCCAACCCCCUCGGGGAAGGCUGCCGCCGCCUCCACCAGCAGCCCCGGUCUCGGAGCCUUCCCCAGUGCCGUACAAUCCUCUAUUAUCAUCCCUGUCACAUGUUCGGAGAGUUCUUUGUUCCCGAGCUCGCUCCCGUGGCCGACUGUGAGAACUCUUUCAGGGCAGGAAGCAAUUCGUAUUCCUCUCUCUGGGAGCAACCCUGAGGUCCCAGGCUCCGUGGGCACGGACGGGGCCAGGAGGAGCGUUUGCCAACAGGGACACUGGCCCAGCAGCGAGAGAGGAGGGGAAGCCACACUUCCCCAUGCCUGAGCGUCUGUUUUUGGGCCGCUCCCGGUGGUGCGCAGGGGACCGCGUGUGGUGCCAGGAAUCAAGCCAGGCCUGGCUGUGCGCAAGAACCAUCAAGGACCCAGAUGUGCCACGUCUCCAGCCUGGGCACCGCCACGCUGGGCCCCCCCACGCUGGGCACCUCCACGCUGGGCACCUCUCCACGCUUUGCUGAUUUCCACGCGGGGCCACGCGCCUGAUCCCAAAGGCUGCAGGAGGGCCCGGGGGAUUGCCGGAACUCGCCCGACUCGGGCCUAACACAGCCUGUGCACCAACCCAGAGCCAGAUCUGCCCAUCCCCACCCCACGCACAGCCCAGGCGUGUGAGCACGCGGCGUCGGGCGCUUCCCCAGCCCUGACUCGGACACUGAAGACUCCCUGACACGUCUGCAGGGGGAGGAGGCCGCCAGCCCUGCAAGGGCCAGUUCUUGCGACUCGGCACCUGAAAUUCAGUCGGGGCCCGGGGAUGGCUCUGCGCUAGAGCAACCUGCCUUGGACACACACAGCCCUGAGUUUGAGCCCGGGCGUUCCAAGGGCACAGAGCACCAGCCCCCGUGGCCUGUCCCCAGGCCCCCAGCCGCACAGUAACGCGUCACAGCCAGGUGCGUGCAAACACCGCAGCAGGAGCGUGGUGACCAGGAAGAUGCACAAGUGAGUCACAACAGCAACAAAGGCCAUGGAUGGAGUGCAGGGCACAACACUGGCCUUGGGUUUGACCCCUGGCACCAUUAAACACAACAAAAAUCAAUAGCAACAAAGGGGGGAAAUAAAAGUAAGUAAAAUUCAGGAACAAAAAGCUUGGUAGCACAGUAUUUGAACUCACUGGGGAAUCUGACCCUGCCCUCAAGCACAAAGCUUGGUCAUUGUGUGCGCAUGCACACAUACACACACACACACACACACACACACACACACACACACACACACACACACACACUUCCAUUUUCCUAACAGCCAAAGACUUUCCCCAGAUUUUCAACGUGCCCUGAGAGUAACUUCAGAUGGGCGGGUCGCAGGGCAUCAAAUGGACACUGCGGAAUACUCCCCCAUACUGGCAAAACCAAGGGAUCUCGACAACUUUUCAUAUCUGUCCCUGUGGUCCUCCAGCCCCACCCCAAAGACCCCAGAAGGUUCUUGCAAAUGCAAGAGGCAUCCGUCAUUGCACACAGCUGUGCGCCACGGUAGCCGGGCAGCAUCGAGUGGACACCCACGGCCGUGCAAUGAGUGAGGCUCCGCGGGCUGUGGGGACUUGGGGGCGCACGAGGCAGAGGGAAGUCCCUCCCUGCAGCCUGCCUGAGGCAGAAAUGCAGGUCAUCCAUGUAUGAAGGGGGGUGUGGGGAGCAAGGGUUGUGAAACCCCCCUGCCCCCACGACCUGUAGCCUACCUUGCCCUCCGGGACACACUUACCCACCAACUGAACAACCAACCUGUCCCUGACUUCCAAGGUCCUGCCCUUGGGGGGACUUUCUCUGCAGAGCAUCACAUGGUGGACACGUGCCCGCUUCACUUCAGAGCUCUAGGUGGCAACAAAGUUACCCGCGCCUCCUGUCUGCCCAGGAGACCGACCCCUCCAGGCUGGGCAGCAGGAGGGGCGUGGGUGAGAAGGACCCUCUCCCACAUGGCUGGGGCAAAGGUGGGGGAGGACUCACAGGUGAAACAUAGGUGAGGUUUUCUAGACCCGAGAAAGGUGCUACAUGCCUGAGGCCCAGAAGUGGAACUCAGGGACGUCCACACUCCCCAUGUGGGACGUAGCUUGCCAGCCCUGGGGUGCUGCAACUACCCCAGGUGGUGUCAGCCUCAGGUACAAGGAGAUUUUCUGUUUACUGACUUGAAGGUAGACUUGGGGGAUGCACUGAGAAUUACUUUGUUUUCUGACAAGCGGGUGGUAGGCCUAGCAAGUAAAGUUUAGGAACCUCUAUGAUGAGCGAACACAAUUAAUCUUCAGUUCACUGAGCAUCUCCAAAGAGCUUCCUGAAGGGGGAAAGCUCUUUCUGGUGCCUACAUUCAGGUGACUGUGCGCCUCCCUAACGCACUGGGAGCUCCUUUAUAGCUAAUUUUCACUGGCUGGAAAAGCAGAAGGAGAGAACCAGUAUUUGUGAUAGUUUAUGGAAAGCUGGAAAGUACCAAACAUUACUUGAGCUUUGAGAAUCAGCGAAACAUUGUACUUAGUACCACAGGCCUAAGUAUAAUCAUGUAUUGUUUCUAGAUGAACAAUUUUUGUCUCCAGGUGCCUGUCAAGUUAUAGAGGCUUGAGAGACUUUGGAAAGGGGCUGGUCCCCUGGGAGCCAUAGGACAGAGGGUAACAUGCUUGCCUUCCCACUAGCACUACUGCUUUUUAGUUUGUUUUUAGGCGCCUCCAUCAGGCUGUGCUCAAGGCUCCCUCCUGGCUGUUCCAGGGGCCAAUCCUGGUGGGGCUCGGAUAUCGAACCUGGGCUGCCUGCUAAGCAAGUGCCCUCUCCGUUGGACUAGUGACCUCCUUAAAGGAGACUGUUAGGUAUAAAGGAGAAAGAAGGACACACCAGGAACAAUCAAAUGCAAAGCCCAGCCUGGAACCUGGAGUGUGCUGGUCAGAGGCUCGGCCUGCAAGGGAAGAAGGGCCUGCCAGUUUGGAAAACCUGAACCAGGAAUCUCCAGGGGCCCAGAGGUGGACCUGUCCUGCAAGACAUCACCCGCCCCUCCAUCUCCUGAGCACACUGGACCAAUAAGGACACUUCUGUGUUGCUUAAAAUUUUCAUUACCAGGGUGGGGCCAUAAUACAGCGGGUGAGGUGCUUGCAUUGCACCUGGCUGACCCGGGUUUGCUCCCUGAGAACCACAAAAAAGGAGUAAUUCCUGAGUACAGUGCCAGGAGUAACCCCUGAGCACUGCUGGGUGUAGCCAAACUUUAAAAAAUAAAUUCAUUAGUUUUUUUUUUUGCACAGAUGUGACAUGUCAGGAUUCUGAAAACCCACACCUUCCUUGGAGGGCUUCUCUCGGGAGGACAGAAUGAAGUCAACAACACAACUGACAAAGAUCAGCCUUCCACAGAGGGAGGCCUGAAGUUCAAAUGCUGAGCAACCCGCUCACAAUCAGGAGACGGUGUCUCCCACAGCUGACACAACACCGGCCCGGUCAUGGUGCGGCCGAGUACGCGUGAGCUUCCCCCAGAGGUAACCCGCACACUCUCCUGGAGAAGGUGGCUGAGCCGCCUCUGCACACCGGACUCCAAAACAAAGCUGUCUUCUCGAUGAAGGGCUGCACGCCACCCAGCACAGCCUCGCUCCGACUGACCAGUCACACGCCUGUGCAUGGAGCCCCUAGCCACAGGUACACACGGCUCUGGAGCGCAGGACACCAUCCAUGUGGGUCAAGACACGCCUAGCCUGACUCACAUGGGAAGGUGUGCAGGGUUUUUGUCCUAUAUUUGCUUGCUUACUCACUGUAUGGGCUGGAGUGAUAGCACAGCGGGUAGGGCAUUUGCCUUGCACAUGGCCGACCCGGGUUUGAUUCCUCCAUCCCUCUCAGAGAGCCCAGCAAGCUACCAAAAGUAUCUUGCCCACACGGCAGAGCCUGGCAAGCUACCUGUGCCGUAUUCGAUAUGCCAAAAACACUAACAAGUCUCACAAUGGAGACAUUACUGGUGCCCGCUUGAGCAAAUCAAUGAGCAACAGGACGACAGUGCUACUCACCAUAUGCUCCUCCUUGCUACACAAGUAUUUAAAAUUUAUUCUUAUAUACUCUCAUCCCCAUACACACACAUACGCUCCCAAUCCUAUACACAAUCCUACAUACACACACACACACACAAAAUCCCAUAUAUCCCAAUCCUACACACACAUAAUCCUAUACACACCCAUCCUACACACACAUAAGCCUAUACACACCCAUCCUACACACACAUAAGCCUAUACACACCCAUCCUACACACACAUAAUCCUAUACACCCACAGCCAUCCAAUCCUCUACACCCCAUCCGCCUCCAGGAAGUACUUUACACCCACAUUCUACAUACAGCUGAUGGACAUCAUCAUAUACAUACCCAAUCCUACACACCCCUCACCCCCUUAUUCUACACAUGUGCACACACAAGCCGAUGAACAACUUCUCACACACAUACACACAAUCCUCCUUCUUCCCUAGCUAAGUCUGUGACCUUGAAAUCAGCUUCUCCAGUCCUCGAUGACUCUCUAAUCAAGCAGGGGACCCCAGGAAGAGCAAGGAGGCAAAAAACUGAGCCCUAGCAUCCCUCAUGGAAGGGACCAUGUAAGAGCAGGAAUCUGGGGCCAGAGUGACAGCACAGUGGGUAGGACGUUCACUUAGCACAUGGCUGACCAGGGUUCAAUCCCAGGAACCACGUGCAGAGCCAGGAGUCAGCCCUGAACACUGCCAGGUGUUGCCCCCAAACAAAAACUUAUUUAUUAAAUCUUUUAAAUAAUAAAAGCAAGAAUCCCUCUGAGUGAGCCAGCAGAGCCCCAGUCCAUAGAGUAACAAUUGUGUUCAGACGGGCCGGGGGAAACAGCGUCACAUCUCGACUCUUAGCACUGCACUGUGCGUGUCUCUUUAAAACCUCCCAGUCCUGGGGCCAGACAGUCUAGUGGGUAGGGCGCUUGCGCAGCAGGCCAGGGUUCAAUCCAUCGCACCCUAUAUGGUUCCCUCAGCCCACCAGGAGUGAUUUCCGAGCACUGAACCUAGAGUAAGGCCAGAGCACCACCAGGUGAGUCCAUCCCCCAAAAGAAAAUCCAAUGCUCAGUCUGAAAGCAUGUUGCGCUCAGAGCAGACGCGGAGCUGUGCCCCUCUUUGCUGAAGAUGAUGCUCUCUUUCAAGUUCUCAUGUGGUACGCUGCGCAGCUGAGCUGUCUUUCACUAGUGAAAAAUUAGCUACAGGGCACUUUUUUUUUGGGGGGGGGGAGACAAGGAGGCACACCCAGCAGUACUCAGAGCUUACGCCUGGCUCUGCUCUCAGGGAUCAGCUCUGGUGACACUUGGGGGACGCCGAGCACCGUCUGAGCCUCCGCAGAUUUGGCACUCCAU